AAGGUUAAGCCUCACGGUUCAUUAGUACCGGUUAGCUCAACGCAUCGCUGCGCUUACACACCCGGCCUAUCAACGUCGUCGUCUUCAACGUUCCUUCAGGACCCUUAAAGGGUCAGGGAGAACUCAUCUCGGGGCAAGUUUCGUGCUUAGAUGCUUUCAGCACUUAUCUCUUCCGCAUUUAGCUACCGGGCAGUGCCAUUGGCAUGACAACCCGAACACCAGUGAUGCGUCCACUCCGGUCCUCUCGUACUAGGAGCAGCCCCCCUCAGUUCUCCAGCGCCCACGGCAGAUAGGGACCGAACUGUCUCACGACGUUCUAAACCCAGCUCGCGUACCACUUUAAAUGGCGAACAGCCAUACCCUUGGGACCUACUUCAGCCCCAGGAUGUGAUGAGCCGACAUCGAGGUGCCAAACACCGCCGUCGAUAUGAACUCUUGGGCGGUAUCAGCCUGUUAUCCCCGGAGUACCUUUUAUCCGUUGAGCGAUGGCCCUUCCAUUCAGAACCACCGGAUCACUAUGACCUGCUUUCGCACCUGCUCGCGCCGUCACGCUCGCAGUCAAGCUGGCUUAUGCCAUUGCACUAACCUCCUGAUGUCCGACCAGGAUUAGCCAACCUUCGUGCUCCUCCGUUACUCUUUAGGAGGAGACCGCCCCAGUCAAACUACCCACCAGACACUGUCCGCAACCCGGAUCACGGGUCCACGUUAGAACAUCAAACAUUAAAGGGUGGUAUUUCAAGGUCGGCUCCAUGCAGACUGGCGUCCACACUUCAAAGCCUCCCACCUAUCCUACACAUCAAGGCUCAAUGUUCAGUGUCAAGCUAUAGUAAAGGUUCACGGGGUCUUUCCGUCUUGCCGCGGGUACACUGCAUCUUCACAGCGAGUUCAAUUUCACUGAGUCUCGGGUGGAGACAGCCUGGCCAUCAUUACGCCAUUCGUGCAGGUCGGAACUUACCCGACAAGGAAUUUCGCUACCUUAGGACCGUUAUAGUUACGGCCGCCGUUUACCGGGGCUUCGAUCAAGAGCUUCGCUUGCGCUAACCCCAUCAAUUAACCUUCCGGCACCGGGCAGGCGUCACACCGUAUACGUCCACUUUCGUGUUUGCACAGUGCUGUGUUUUUAAUAAACAGUUGCAGCCAGCUGGUAUCUUCGACUGAUUUCAGCUCCACGAGCAAGUCGCUUCACCUACGUAUCAGCGUGCCUUCUCCCGAAGUUACGGCACCAUUUUGCCUAGUUCCUUCACCCGAGUUCUCUCAAGCGCCUUGGUAUUCUCUACCUGACCACCUGUGUCGGUUUGGGGUACGAUUUGAUGUUACCUGAUGCUUAGAGGCUUUUCCUGGAAGCAGGGCAUUUGUUGCUUCAGCACCGUAGUGCCUCGUCAUCACGCCUCGGCCUUGAUUUUCCGGAUUUGCCUGGAAAACCAGCCUACACGCUUAAACCGGGACAACCGUCGCCCGGCCAACAUAGCCUUCUCCGUCCCCCCUUCGCAGUAACACCAAGUACAGGAAUAUUAACCUGUUUCCCAUCGACUACGCCUUUCGGCCUCGCCUUAGGGGUCGACUCACCCUGCCCCGAUUAACGUUGGACAGGAACCCUUGGUCUUCCGGCGAGCGGGCUUUUCACCCGCUUUAUCGUUACUUAUGUCAGCAUUCGCACUUCUGAUACCUCCAGCAUACCUCACAGCACACCUUCACAGGCUUACAGAACGCUCCCCUACCCAACAACGCAUAAGCGUCGCUGCCGCAGCUUCGGUGCAUGGUUUAGCCCCGUUACAUCUUCCGCGCAGGCCGACUCGACCAGUGAGCUAUUACGCUUUCUUUAAAUGAUGGCUGCUUCUAAGCCAACAUCCUGGCUGUCUGGGCCUUCCCACAUCGUUUCCCACUUAACCAUGACUUUGGGACCUUAGCUGGCGGUCUGGGUUGUUUCCCUCUUCACGACGGACGUUAGCACCCGCCGUGUGUCUCCCGUAAUAACAUUCUCCGGUAUUCGCAGUUUGCAUCGGGUUGGUAAGUCGGGAUGACCCCCUUGCCGAAACAGUGCUCUACCCCCGGAGAUGAAUUCACGAGGCGCUACCUAAAUAGCUUUCGGGGAGAACCAGCUAUCUCCCGGUUUGAUUAGCCUUUCACCCCCAGCCACAAGUCAUCCGCUAAUUUUUCAACAUUAGUCGGUUCGGUCCUCCAGUUAGUGUUACCCAACCUUCAACCUGCCCAUGGCUAGAUCACCGGGUUUCGGGUCUAUACCCUGCAACUUAACGCCCAGUUAAGACUCGGUUUCCCUUCGGCUCCCCUAUUCGGUUAACCUUGCUACAGAAUAUAAGUCGCUGACCCAUUAUACAAAGGUACGCAGUCACACGCCUAAGCGUGCUCCCACUGCUUGUACGUACACGGUUUCAGGUUCUUUUUCACUCCCCUCGCCGGGGUUCUUUUCGCCUUUCCCUCACGGUACUGGUUCACUAUCGGUCAGUCAGGAGUAUUUAGCCUUGGAGGAUGGUCCCCCCAUAUUCAGACAGGAUACCACGUGUCCCGCCCUACUCAUCGAGCUCACAGUAUGUGUAUUUUUGUGUACGGGGCUGUCACCCUGUAUCGCACGCCUUUCCAGACGCUUCCACUAACACACACACUGAUUCAGGCUCUGGGCUGCUCCCCGUUCGCUCGCCGCUACUGGGGGAAUCUCGGUUGAUUUCUUUUCCUCGGGGUACUUAGAUGUUUCAGUUCCCCCGGUUCGCCUCAUUAACCUAUGGAUUCAGUUAAUGAUAGUGUGACGAAUCACACUGGGUUUCCCCAUUCGGAAAUCGCCGGUUAUAACGGUUCAUAUCACCUUACCGACGCUUAUCGCAGAUUAGCACGUCCUUCAUCGCCUCUGACUGCCAGGGCAUCCACCGUGUACGCUUAGUCGCUUAA
rnacentral:rRNA from 1 species